rnacentral:rRNA from 1 species
UGGACGCAUCACUGGUGUUCGGGUUGUCAUGCCAAUGGCACUGCCCGGUAGCUAAAUGCGGAAGAGAUAAGUGCUGAAAGCAUCUAAGCACGAAACUUGCCCCGAGAUGAGUUCUCCCUGACUCCUUGAGAGUCCUGAAGGAACGUUGAAGACGACGACGUUGAUAGGCCGGGUGUGUAAGCGCAGCGAUGCGUUGAGCUAACCGGUACUAAUGAACCGUGAGGCUUAACCUUACAACGCCGAAG